CUCUCUCUCUCUCUCUCUCUCUCUCUCUCUCUCUGAGAAAUAUUCAUGAUGACAAAUUGAAGAUGAUGAUUAGCUGCGGAUAUUAGAUGAUAAUCAUUUUCCAUCACCAUGAACCUGAUUAUUUCUUGGAAAUAAAUCAAUUUGAGAGAUGAUGAUGAUGGCGAGAAGGAAAAAAAUCAAAAUGGCAAAACUAGAACGAUACUAAUGAUGAUGAUGAUCCAGUUUGACACGCCUUCGAUAAUCAUCAUUGAAUCAACAUGGAUGAGGGUUUGAUUGAAGAUGAUGAAGUAAUCAGGAUAAAGAGAGAGAGAGAGAGAGAGAGGGAGGGAGGGAGAGAGAGAAACCUGUGAAUACAUUGAUGAGGAUGAUCAAUACACAGGAUGAGAGAGUAAAGAAGGAAAAAUAUCUUUGAUUGGUUACCAGUAAUCAGAAUUAUUUUCAUCAUCGUUGAUCUUGAGUUCUUGGUGAAUCUUUCAUCGUCAUUAACAUUAUCAGUUAUAAGUUAAUCCAACCGGAUAUCCCGAGGAUAAUCAAGAUUAAAUCAUAUGUAAUGAAAGGUAGAGAGAAAGAUCAACUCAAAGGAAACUUAAAUCAGAUAAAGAUCAUCAGGUUAACCAAAUGAUUAAACCUGAUACUUGGUCUCACAAUAUUCAUGAUAUAAUUUAGAAGAAAAUUUUUAGGUUUGGGUUUUCUCUUUCUCUCUCUCCCUCUCUCAAUUAUCCCAGUCCAAGAAGAUGAAGAUGCUCAAGAUGACGACCAAGUGAUAAGGUUGAUGGUCAAAUGGAAAAUGAGACCAAUUAAGAUCAUUAAUUUAACUUAAUUUCCAUUCGACAAUCAAUGCUUUUCGCUAAUCACCAUAUUCUCAGAACAUAAUUAGCGUCUUCAUGUUUCCUUGUUCUCUUUCUCUCUCAUCUGUUGAUCAAAGAUUAUUUCCCAUGAUAUAAAUACAACAUCAUCAUGAUAAUCAUUCCAUCAAUGAGGUUGAAACGAUAAUCCAAAAUCAAAUCGUAAUCAUUAACAUUUGAUAUUCGUUUUGAUUACAAAUCUUCAUUUCCAAUUCUUCAAUCAUUCAAUAUCCUCAUUAACUUGUAAUCAAUUGGUGAUGGUAAACAGAUCAAACAAAACACAUGAAUCUAAAUGGUAAAGAUGAAGGAUAAUCAACGAUAAUCAUCAUCUUCAUCAUCAUCAACUGGACCAACAACAAGAAUUAAAUUGUUAACCCAUAAUAAGAAAAGCCGUUAAUCAGACUAAUCAAUGGAAAUGGUGAAAUAACGGUAAUAUGAAAAUGAAGAGAAGGAAAUUAUUAUCAAAGUAAAUAAAAGAUAAUCAUUAGUCGGUUGGAAGAAGAUGACAGAAUAUCAUCUUGUUCCAUAUUCUUUUCCAGGAUGGAUGAAGAUCCAUAAAAAAGUUCUCAUAAUGGAAUAAGAAAGGGAUGAUUAAAGGAACAUGAGGUGUUGAUGAUAGCGAAAAAUAUUCCAAGCGAAUCUUCUUAUGAGCCAUUUCAUUUUCCACUUUUUUAUCCACAACAAAGAUGACACAAUGAGAGAGAAGGAAAGUGAGUCUUGGUGGAGAAACGAGAUAAGCAACAAGGAUCCACCGGUGAUGAGGAUGAAAUGAUGAACUUGGUCCAAGUAAUUGUUUGCCUCAUAAAGAACACGAGAUAAUCAAGAUGGAGAAAAAAACGGAAAACUAUCAACAGAAUUAACGAUUCUGAUGGAAGGAGAAAAUCUCAUGAGAAUAAUUAAAUUUGCAGCGUAAAUUAAAUCUCUAAUCAACAUACCUAAUACAUGGAUAAUAGAUAAAUUGUUGAAGAUCAAAUUGUUAACAUAAAUUAACUACCAUUGAAA